rnacentral:rRNA from 1 species
GACGAACGCUGGCGGCGUGCCUAAUACAUGCAAGUUGAGCGCUGAAGGUUGGUACUUGUACCAACUGGAUGAGCAGCGAACGGGUGAGUAACGCGUGGGGAAUCUGCCUUUGAGCGGGGGACAACAUUUGGAAACGAAUGCCAAUACCGCAUAAAAACUUUAAUCACAAGUUUUAAGUUUGAAAGAUGCAAUUGCAUCACUCAAAGAUGAUCCCGUGUUGUAUUAGCUAGUUGGUGAGGUAAAGGCUCACCAAGGCGAUGAUACAUAGCCGACCUGAGAGGGUGAUCGGCCAAAUUGGGACUGAGACAAGGCCCAAACUCCUACGGGAGGCAGCAGUAGGGAAUCUUCGGCAAUGGACGAAAGUCUGACCGAGCAACGCCGCGUGAGUGAAGAAGGUUUUCGGAUCGUAAAACUCUGUUGGUAGAGAAGAACGUUGGUGAGAGUGGAAAGCUCAUCAAGUGACGGUAACUACCCAGAAAGGGACGGCUAACUACGUG